GACGAACGCUGGCGGCGUGCCUAAUACAUGCAAGUUGAGCGCUGAAGGUUGGUACUUGUACCAACUGGAUGAGCAGCGAACGGGUGAGUAACGCGUGGGGAAUCUGCCUUUGAGCGGGGGACCACAUUUGGAAACGAAUGCUAAUACCGCAUAAAAACUUUAAACACAAGUUUUAAGUUUGAAAGAUGCAAUUGCAUCACUCAAAGAUGAUCCCGCGUUGUAUUAGCUAGUUGGUGAGGUAAAGGCUCACCAAGGCGAUGAUACAUAGCCGACCUGAGAGGGUGAUCGGCCACAUUGGGACUGAGACACGGCCCAAACUCCUACGGGGGGCAGCAGUAGGGAAUCUUCGGCAAUGGACGAAAGUCUGACCGAGCAACGCCGCGUGAGUGAAGAAGGUUUUCGGAUCGUAAAACUCUGUUGGUAGAGAAGAACGUUGGUGGGAGUGGAAAGCUCAUCAAGUGACGGUAACUACCCAGAAAGGGACGGCUAACUACGUG
rnacentral:rRNA from 1 species